GUGCCACGAAGACAGUGCACCAGGGAGCUGUAACACCAGUGAUGCUGUAACAAGUCCUGCAAGGGUGUAUUCUAAGAGCAGCAGAGGAGGGCAAGACCGAUUACCCUGGUGGUGGAGUGAGAGGUGCAAAGAGGAGAGUUGCAGCUGCUCGGAGGAGGGGACAGCGUGCAUUUCCCACAGAUUUAGAAAAUUCUGGAGCUGGAAGAAAGGUUUGCGAUAACAUAUAUAGUCCAGAGCUUUUUUUUUAAAUUUAAUUUUUUGUUUUUUAGAUUUUUUUUUUGAUGUGGACCAUUUUUAAAGUCUUUAUUGAACUUGUUACAA